rnacentral:misc_RNA from 1 species
GUAUUUCUUUUGCGGAUGGCUUUGCCAGCGCAGAGAGUUGACAGUCCCCGAUCGGGGUCUGUCCAAAGCGAUUGCCUCAGUCCAGUCCGGUCGGUCGAGUGGGCAGGAAAAGUUUGUGAAUCUCUUGCGAGUCACUAUGCCGAGUACCGCCCGCCGCCCGCCGACACAGCGACGAGAGGGAAGGGUUAGUCCUUGCGACUGACGCUCCCACCACAA